AAGGAAAAAUAAAUAAAUAAAAUAAAAUAAAAUAAAUUAGUUUGAAGCAAGUCGAAUUGUUUGGAUGCGUGGAGAUGAUAAUUCUGGCACAAAUUAGAUAAUCUCAACCCUCCUCCUUCCCAGAAUAAGAGCACGGUUAAGUCGUUACCAAUCAGAGUGGCCCGUAGAAUGCCCUACGAUGUCAUACCCUAUUAAUUUCGACACUUCUAAAACCUCCAAAAAGCUUGCAUUGGUCGUGGAUUGGAUUCUAAGCGGGUCUGCAUUGUGCUCCGCAAGAUGGCCAUGGAAGCUGAUCAAGCUGCAGUUGGUGGUGGCAUUUCAGUUCUUAUACAACAGCUGGUAGAUGAUGACCAUCCUGCAACAGUCUUUGGAGUAGUAAUUACUCUGUAGCUUAUGUGGAUUUUCUGACAUUUUAAUUGGAAUGAUUCAGUGAUAAAAGUAAUUGUAAAAUAGUCAUCUAAGUUCAAAUCCUUCGUUCCAAUAUUUAAAAUUAAAAAAAAAAACAAAAAAACAAAAAAACCCCUCAAUUCAAGGUGAAAUUUGUAAUUAAAAUGUAAGUUUUAUAGCAUUUCUAAAAUAAAGAAGUUUGAAGCAAGUAAAAUGGAGUGGCGCGUACAAUAGAUUGUAGUUUGGCGGGCCUUCUUGCUUAAAACCGGAAGCCUGAACCAACAGCACGUGUCGUCUCACGUGCUUGGUCCAUCGCCACCUCCGCAGUCAUUGCUUGCCUUUGUAUCAAUAGGUAUGUACUACUCUUUGAUUUCUUCUCCCUUGGGAUCAAUUUCGAAACUUCGAAAAACCUCCAUAGAAGCUUGCAUUUAUCCUGCAUUGUAUUCUUAUUUUCAGACAGACCCAGUUGGGCAAUUUCAGUAUUAUUUGGUGGGGUUGAAUUUCUUCUCCAAGUUAACUCGGGAAUCUAAGGGGUUUUACAUUGUGGCUUACUCUCUAUUUCGUUUUUGUGCAGCACAGAGAUGGCCAUGGAAGCUGCUCAAGCCGCAAUUAGUUAGUAGUAGCAUCUCGCUUUGAGUUAUUUAACAUAUUAAUUUAUUUAUUUGGAUUUUUUUUUUUUUUUUCUGAAAUGAAAUUGAGAAACUUCUUUCAGUCUUAAAUUAUAGACUAGAGGCAGAACUUUGUUGAAAUGAUUUUGACAAUGAAAUGAGUUUUGGAUUGUAUUAUCAGACUUUGAAUUCUCACCAUUUUUCUUGCACUUGUGGAAGUUGGAAAUUUUUUUAUUUUUAGGGCCUUGUGAGGAGAAACUAUUCCUACAAGUUUGCAUCGAUUGGGGUUUAUUUUUAUUUUUGCGGCCCCUGAGGCAAGAUGUUUAGCCCAAGAAAGAACCAAACUUUAUCCAUGUAAAACUGCCAUAUGAACGCAAAAUAACGUGUGAUCAUGAGAAAGAGCCAUCUUGUUCAGUUAUUGAAGUCAUAAAAGAUAACAUGUUCAUGAGGAAGAGCUUAAUGUUCAGGACGAAGUACAUCUAUUUCUGACAGGACCUUUGAUAUAUGUAGUUCAUUAGGAGUGGUCAUGGUGAAUACAUUCAGGUAUCCAAUUUGGUUACCAAUAUAUGCAUCCUAUGAGAAGCUCAAAAUCCAAGUGUUUCUCUCUUUUUUUAUUUUAUUUUUUUCUUUUUAACAACUAUAAAAGGUGGAAUGAAUUUGUUUCAAUUAUAUUUUCCUUUACACUGUUUUGCGUGUCUAUUUCUGAAGCUGCUAAAUACUCCGCAGGUUGGAACAGUAUUAAAUAUUGAAGAUGCCAAAAAGGCAACAAUUGCAGCGGCCAAAUUUCUCAUGAGUAAGCAAUGGUGAAGGUAAGAGUUUUAGACUUGUGAAAUCCCAUAUCUUUGUCUGAUUUUUGAUAUGAUACAUAAAAAAUUGUGAAAUAGUAUUAUUCUCUCUCUCUCUCUCUCUCUCUCUCGCUAUAUAUGUAAAUAUAUAUCAAUCUAUUUAUCUUAUUUUAUGUUUUUCCAUUUCCUUAUCAAUAAUCAGGACAUUCUGGAUGCUUCCCAGAGGGGUGAAGUUUUAUAUAUGCCUGGGCUAAUGACCCAAUAGAGUUAUGAACAUAUAGAAAAUGUUUGUCUAUUGAGGUUUCUUUUCAUUUUUCCUUGAACUUGAUUUGUUGUAGUAUUUGUAUUCUAAUUCUUUACUUUAUAACUACAGCGGCAAAUCUAAAGAUGUUAAAUCUCUGUCAAUUGCAUUUUUCUUAACAUUCUUUUGAGAUUAUAAUUCUUAAAUCAUUUUUCCUUCAAAGAUAAUUUAAGAAUCUAUAUGUGGCUUCCAGAUAUUUUCUACACAUGAUGUUGGUGCCAAAAUUGUUGAGGUGAGUCUUACUGUUCAUGUUUCUUCUACAAAAAUUGAUUAUCGUCAACAUGGAUGUGAACUGCACUUCCUUCUUGCAUAAUAAAUGGAUUUAUAAAUUUGUCUGCUUGUCCCUCAUAAUUCCAAUUAGAAUUUUUGUUAAGCACAUUAUGUAUCUUACAUAUUGAUAUGGAAAAUGUUCUGAUUCAGCAUGUUAGCAUAUAAAAUUACAUUCACGCUUCAAUAACUUUCUAAAUUCAACUCUAGUUUGAAAACUGGUUACUCAAAGGUAUUACCAGAGAAAUGAUAAUAUAAAAAGCAUUUAGAAUGUUAAGGUGAAGUGAGAAAAUAAAAUUUUAAAGUCUCUAAUUAAUGCUUCGGCUUUAAAACAAAAAAUUUAAAGAAUGAAAGACACACACAAGAGAUUUAGCAGUCAAGAGUAAAGUUAUUCUGCAUAUCAAUUUCUCAUCAUUGUUGUUCAAGUCCAGAGAUAGCCUAGGAAUAAUCUCCAUCAUAUUUGGUGACAGAGGUUUAUCCUGUUUCAGCAUUAGAUGGUGUAAAGUAUAUUUCAGCCCUCAAGAAGCCUUGUCCUCGCAUCUUGAUUUUCCCUUCUUUUUUUUCUUUUUCCAAAGCUCCAGCCUUUCAUCUUAUGACAUUACAUAGACGUCCUUGUAUGUAUCAUCUUACUUGCUGUCUCAGUGUCCAAGCAUUUCUUGCACGGUGUAUCCCAACAUUCUUACUUCUCAAUUUUAUUUAAAGUUCAUGUGCUAGACCUACAUGAUAUGAAUGCGUUGUUUAUAGUUUAGAAUUUAAACUAUAUAAUCCUACGUUGACAGAUUCAAUGCAACAUUUUCCCAAAAGCAAGAUACUGAUUCAUUGAUGUUUGACACUAACGCACAUAUUAUUUUCGUUUGUUACAGAUUCAGUUGGUGAAUAUAUAGUUCAGGGAGCAUCAUCCCCCCCCUUUUUUUUUUUUUUAUCGGAUCCCAUAUUUAGUCAAAAUAAUUUCAAUGAAAUAUAUCACUUGCAUAUAUUGCGGCUUUGGAGGGGAAUGAAGCUGUGUAACGGUUAGCUUCAUUGCGGUUUGGGGACAUCUCAUAACUUAAUUGUGUUCUUCUAUUCUUCGCAUUUUACACGUCCUGUUUUAAUAUCCCUCUAUUCAGUACUCUCUUCUCUCAUUUAUUUCUCAUAUUCUCUUUAUUUAUGUUCUUCUCGCCAGUUCAUAUAGACUAAACUAGAUUCACAUGUUUCUCUCUUCUCUCAUUUAUUUCUCAUAUUCUCUUUAUUUAUGUUCUUCUCGCCAGUUCAUAUAGACUAAACUAGAUUCACAUGUUUCUCUCUUCUCUCAUUUAUUUCUCAUAUUCUCUUCUAUUUCCCAUUAUUGGCCUGUUUGAUUGUUAUGCGGCACGAGGAAGGGCAUGUCAAAUUACCCCAGGGGUUAGUCAAUAGUUUUCAUCCGGAUCAUCAUACCAGGGGAAGAUCACGCAUAAGUUGGGGAUAGUGCUAUUGGGUUUCCUCAAAGACAUGUACUAGCAGAUUAAUUAAAUCAGGGGUCAUUAGGGGGGAAAAAAUGACAUAUCAGUAGUGUACAAAACUCAGAAUCUGAAAAUUUCCUCCCAGAUGCAGAUUGACCGUAGUUGUUUGAUUUUUCAGUUUUCUUUCUUUUUUGAUCCCUAUCAGUGUUUGAACUAUGUAAAUAUAGAUUAUAAAUGCAUAUAAAUUUUCUUUCUUGAGAAUAGAAAUUUGACAAAAUCAUCUUCUUGCA